rnacentral:rRNA from 1 species
GAUGAACGCUGGCGGCGUGCCUAAUACAUGCAAGUCGAGCGAAGCGGGGACGGGUGAGUAACCCGUGGAUAACCUCAUAUAAGACUGGGAUACCUUCGGGAAACCGGAGCUAAACCGGCUUCUUAUAGAUGGAUCCGCGCUGCAUUAGCGAGUUGUGAAGGUAACGGCUUACCAAGGCAACGAUGCAUAGCCGACCGGUGAGGUUGAGUGGCCACACUGGAACUGAGACACGGUCCAGACUCCUACGGGAGGCAGCAGUAGGGAAUCUUCCGCAAUGGGCGAAAGCCUGACGGAGCAACGCCGCGUGAGUGAUGAAGGUCUUCGGAUCGUAAAACUCUGUUAUUAGGGAAGCGGUACCUAAUCAGAAAGCCACGGCUAACUACGUGCCAGCAGCCGCGGUAAUUC